GGUUAAGCGACUAAGCGUACACGGUGGAUGCCCUGGCAGUCAGAGGCGAUGAAGGACGUGCUAAUCUGCGAAAAGCGCCGGCGAGGUGAUAUGAACCUUUGACCCGGCGAUGUCCGAAUGGGGAAACCCAGUGCAAUUCGUUGCACUAUCGUUAACUGAAUACAUAGGUUAACGAGGCAAACCGGGGGAACUGAAACAUCUAAGUACCCCGAGGAAAAGAAAUCAACCGAGAUUCCCCCAGUAGCGGCGAGCGAACGGGGAGCAGCCCAGAGUCUGAAUCAGCUUGUGUGUUAGUGGAAGCGUCUGGAAAGUCGCACGGUACAGGGUGACAGUCCCGUACACGAAAAUGCACAGGUUGUGAACUCGAAGAGUAGGGCGGGACACGUGGUAUCCUGUCUGAAUAUGGGGGGACCAUCCUCCAAGGCUAAAUACUCCUGACUGACCGAUAGUGAACCAGUACCGUGAGGGAAAGGCGAAAAGAACCCCGGCGAGGGGAGUGAAAAAGAACCUGAAACCGUGUACGUACAAGCAGUGGGAGCACCUUCGUGGUGUGACUGCGUACCUUUUGUAUAAUGGGUCAGCGACUUAUAUUCUGUAGCAAGGUUAACCGUAUAGGGGAGCCGAAGGGAAACCGAGUCUUAACUGGGCGUUAAGUUGCAGGGUAUAGACCCGAAACCCGGUGAUCUAGCCAUGGGCAGGUUGAAGGUUGGGUAACACUAACUGGAGGACCGAACCGACUAAUGUUGAAAAAUUAGCGGAUGACUUGUGGCUGGGGGUGAAAGGCCAAUCAAACCGGGAGAUAGCUGGUUCUCCCCGAAAGCUAUUUAGGUAGCGCCUCGUGAACUCAUCUUCGGGGGUAGAGCACUGUUUCGGCUAGGGGGCCAUCCCGGCUUACCAACCCGAUGCAAACUACGAAUACCGAAGAAUGUUAUCACGGGAGACACACGGCGGGUGCUAACGUCCGUCGUGAAGAGGGAAACAACCCAGACCGCCAGCUAAGGUCCCAAAGUCAUGGUUAAGUGGGAAACGAUGUGGGAAGGCACAGACAGCCAGGAUGUUGGCUUAGAAGCAGCCAUCAUUUAAAGAAAGCGUAAUAGCUCACUGGUCGAGUCGGCCUGCGCGGAAGAUGUAACGGGGCUAAACCAUGCACCGAAGCUGCGGCAGCGACACUAUGUGUUGUUGGGUAGGGGAGCGUUCUGUAAGCCGUUGAAGGUGGCCUGUGAGGGUUGCUGGAGGUAUCAGAAGUGCGAAUGCUGACAUAAGUAACGAUAAAGCGGGUGAAAAGCCCGCUCGCCGGAAGACCAAGGGUUCCUGUCCAACGUUAAUCGGGGCAGGGUGAGUCGACCCCUAAGGCGAGGCCGAAAGGCGUAGUCGAUGGGAAACAGGUUAAUAUUCCUGUACUUGGUGUUACUGCGAAGGGGGGACGGAGAAGGCUAUGUUAGCCGGGCGACGGUUGUCCCGGUUUAAGCAUGUAGGCGGAACGAUUAGGUAAAUCCGGUCGUUUAUUAACGCUGAGGUGUGAUGACGAGGCACUACGGUGCUGAAGUAACAAAUGCCCUGCUUCCAGGAAAAGCCUCUAAGCAUCAGGUAACAUCAAAUCGUACCCCAAACCGACACAGGUGGUCAGGUAGAGAAUACCAAGGCGCUUGAGAGAACUCGGGUGAAGGAACUAGGCAAAAUGGUGCCGUAACUUCGGGAGAAGGCACGCUGAUAUGUAGGUGAAGCCCCUGCGGGUGGAGCUGAAAUCAGUCGAAGAUACCAGCUGGCUGCAACUGUUUAUUAAAAACACAGCACUGUGCAAACACGAAAGUGGACGUAUACGGUGUGACGCCUGCCCGGUGCCGGAAGGUUAAUUGAUGGGGUUAGCGGCAACGCGAAGCUCUUGAUCGAAGCCCCGGUAAACGGCGGCCGUAACUAUAACGGUCCUAAGGUAGCGAAAUUCCUUGUCGGGUAAGUUCCGACCUGCACGAAUGGCGUAAUGAUGGCCAGGCUGUCUCCACCCGAGACUCAGUGAAAUUGAACUCGCUGUGAAGAUGCAGUGUACCCGCGGCAAGACGGAAAGACCCCGUGAACCUUUACUAUAGCUUGACACUGAACACUGGUCCUUGAUGUGUAGGAUAGGUGGGAGGCUUUGAAGUGUGGACGCCAGUCUGCAUGGAGCCGUCCUUGAAAUACCACCCUUUAAUGGCUGGUGUUCUAACGUAGACCCGUGAUCCGGGUUGCGGACAGUGUCUGGUGGGUAGUUUGACUGGGGCGGUCUCCUCCCAAAGAGUAACGGAGGAGCACGAAGGUUAGCUAAUCCUGGUCGGACAUCAGGAGGUUAGUGCAAUGGCAUAAGCUAGCUUGACUGCGAGAGUGACGGCUCGAGCAGGUGCGAAAGCAGGUCAUAGUGAUCCGGUGGUUCUGAAUGGAAGGGCCAUCGCUCAACGGAUAAAAGGUACUCCGGGGAUAACAGGCUGAUACCGCCCAAGAGUUCAUAUCGACGGCGGUGUUUGGCACCUCGAUGUCGGCUCAUCACAUCCUGGGGCUGAAGUAGGUCCCAAGGGUAUGGCUGUUCGCCAUUUAAAGUGGUACGCGAGCUGGGUUUAGAACGUCGUGAGACAGUUCGGUCCCUAUCUGCCGUGGGCGCUGGAGAAUUGAGGGGGGCUGCUCCUAGUACGAGAGGACCGGAGUGGACGCAUCACUGGUGUUCGGGUUGUCAUGCCAAUGGCACUGCCCGGUAGCUAAAUGCGGAAAAGAUAAGUGCUGAAAGCAUCUAAGCACGAAACUUGCCCCGAGAUGAGUUCUCCCUGAGACUUUAAGUCUCCUGAAGGAACGUUGAAGACGACGACGUUGAUAGGUCGGGUGUGUAAGCGCAGCGAUGCGUUGAGCUAACCGAUACUAAUGAACCGUGAGGCUUAACCUU
rnacentral:rRNA from 1 species